rnacentral:rRNA from 1 species
GAUGAACGCUGGCGGCGUGCCUAAUACAUGCAAGUCGAGCGAACGGACGAGAAGCUUGCUUCUCUGAUGUUAGCGGCGGACGGGUGAGUAACACGUGGAUAACCUACCUAUAAGACUGGGAUAACUUCGGGAAACCGGAGCUAAUACCGGAUAAUAUUUUGAACCGCAUGGUUCAAAAGUGAAAGACGGUCUUGCUGUCACUUAUAGAUGGAUCCGCGCUGCAUUAGCUAGUUGGUAAGGUAACAGCUUACCAAGGCAACGAUGCAUAGCCGACCUGAGAGGGUGAUCGGCCACACUGGAACUGAGACACGGUCCAGACUCCUACGGGAGGCAGCAGUAGGGAAUCUUCCGCAAUGGGCAAAAGCCUGACGGAGCAACGCCGCGUGAGUGAUGAAGGUCUUCGGAUCGUAAAACUCUGUUAUUAGGGAAGAACAUAUGUGUAAGUAACUGUGCACAUCUUGACGGUACCUAAUCAGAAAGCCACGGCUAACUACGUG